GCAACCCGGCGCUUUAGCGUCAUCGUUAACUGAAUACAUAGGUUAACGAAGCAAACCCGGCGAAGUGAAACAUCUCAGUAGCCGGAGGAAAGGACAUCAACCGAGACUCCGUUAGUAGUGGCGAGCGAACGCGGACUAGGCCAGUGGCAAUUAUGUAAGAACCGAAAUCGUCUGGAAAGUCGAGCCAUAGUGGGUGAUAGCCCCGUACACGAAAAUCUCUUAUCAAUGAAAUCGAGUAGGACGGGACACGUGAUAUCCUGUCUGAAUAUGGGGGGACCAUCCUCCAAG
rnacentral:rRNA from 1 species